AGAGUUUGAUCCUGGCUCAGGACGAACGCUGGCGGCGUGCCUAAUACAUGCAAGUAGAACGCUGAAGACUUUAGCUUGCUAGAGUUGGAAGAGUUGCGAACGGGUGAGUAACGCGUAGGUAACCUGCCUACUAGCGGGGGAUAACUAUUGGAAACGAUAGCUAAUACCGCAUAACAGUGUUUAACACAUGUUAGAUGCUUGAAAGAUGCAAUUGCAUCACUAGUAGAUGGACCUGCGUUGUAUUAGCUAGUUGGUGGGGUAACGGCCUACCAAGGCGACGAUACAUAGCCGACCUGAGAGGGUGAUCGGCCACACUGGGACUGAGACACGGCCCAGACUCUACGGGAGGCAGCAGUAGGGAAUCUUCGGCAAUGGGGGCAACCCUGACCGAGCAACGCCGCGUGAGUGAAGAAGGUUUUCGGAUCGUAAAGCUCUGUUGUAAGAGAAGAACGUGUGUGAGAGUGGAAAGUUCACACAGUGACGGUAACUUACCAGAAAGGGACGGCUAAUACGUGCCAGCAGCCGCGGUAAU
rnacentral:rRNA from 1 species